GACAGAGGGGGCAAGCGUUGCUCGGAAUUACUGGGCGUAAAGGGCGCGUAGGCGGGAUGGCAAGUCGGUCGUGAAAUCCCUCGGCUCAACCGAGGAACGUCGAUCGAUACUGCUGUUCUUGAGGACUGCAGAGGAGACUGGAAUUCCCGGUGUAGCGGUGAAAUGUGUAGAGAUCGGGAGGAACAUCAGUGGCGAAAGCGACUUCUUGGACCAAUACUGACGCUCAAGUGCGAAAGCGUGGGGAGCAAACAGG
rnacentral:rRNA from 1 species